ACGACAAAAUUCGUGUAAAGCUGCCUGUAGUCGGAAACCAUAUCGACUCGGAUUUCAUUAACGCCAGUUUCAUUGAUGGUUAUUUGUCACCAAAGAAGUAUAUUGCAGCCCAAGGGUCACUUGCCUCCACAAUAGUUUAUUUUUGGAGUAUGAUUUGGGAGCAAAAUGUUGGGGUCGUAGCCAUGGUUACAAACCUAGUUGAGAAGUCAAAGAGAAAGUGCUUCCAAUACUGACCAAUAAGCUCUGGAAAUGACUGUCAGUAUAGUGAUUACACAAUACGGCUUCUUUCGGAAGAAACUUACGCUAACUUUGUUGUUCGCACUUUGCACUGCAGAAAGAGUGGGUUAAUUAAAGUACAAACAGUCAACCAUUUACUCUUUACUGCUUUGCCGGACAAAGAUGUUCCAGAUACAGCUCUGUCCCCUAAGCAAUUUUGGCGCAAGGUUCGCAAUGUUGAAAAACCAGACGGAGCUCCGUGGAUCGUACAUUGCAGUGCCGGCGUGGGAAGAAAUGGAAAUUGUUAUCGCACUUGACUAUCUGUACGAUCAAGGGAUAACAGAGAAACAGAUAAAUGUGUUUGAUGCUGUACUCUUACUUCUUCAACAAAGAAUCAAUAUGGUUCAAACCAAGAACCAGUAUUUGUACCUCCACGAAGUUUUGUGUGAAGCGCUUUGUACUGUUGGUGAAAUAUUGGAAAACACGGCUUUUAUUGACACUCCACGCACAUCUGAUUCACUGAACCAGGAAUAUCAGCACAUUUGCAAAUCACACAUCCCUGAUCGAGAAGAAGGUUGGACAGACGGCGAAUAUACGCUAGUCCUAGAUGGCGAAAAGUCAGACAAUCUCAAUAAAAAUGCUGACCUGUGUGUUGUUCCAGAUGAUAGAUACCGCCCUGUACUGAAUAUGACGUUGAAUACUUUGGGACAAAACGAUUAUAUCAACGUUGUUUAUAUUUCGACAUUCGGAGAGAAGGAUAUGUUGAUUCUUACCCAGUCGGCACUUGUGAGCUCAGCAAUAGAUUGUGUUCGGUUGUUUCACGACCACGUUAUCAGAACGGUGGUGACUUUCGCCGACGAGGUGGAACCCUACAUGCCGGGCAGUAGUGAAAGCUGCUUGAUUGGACCAUUCACAGCCACAACUAAGUCUGACACACAUAAACAAGUCUAUAAAGAAUCCGUAGUACAAUUUAAAUAUAUUGCAGAGUAUGAGGGUUUCGAAGUCCGAAUCAUCCGAUUUACGAAAUGGUCGAACACUUUGGACUUUUGCAACAUAAAAGACCUGAUGAGUCUUUUAAUUAGUGUUCAGGAAUGCGCCUGUAGGAGACCAGUCGUUCUUCAGUGUCGUGACGGAUACAGUCAGAGUAGAUUGUUUGCAGUUUUAUAGUGCCUCGUGGAGCGAUGUUAACGGGAUGGGGAGGUGGCGGUGGCAGAAACAGUGAAGAUGAUCAGAAGACGGAGAAAACAAGUCAUCACUAACGAGGCACAAUAUCGGUUCUGCCAACAGUUCAUGAAAGAGUAUAUCGAGGGCAGCCUGGUAUAUGCUAAUACGUAAUGUACUUGGGACAAGAAUACAAAGAUUAAACUUCCUUGAUGGAAUUUAUUUGAGGAAGAUUUUAGUAACUGAAUUAUAGGAGGAACAUAUCGUUUAUCUUCAGGAAAGCAGGACAUGUAUUUUGAGAUGAUUGAUAUCCUCAUGUUGUGUGCACAUAACUGUAUUUUAUAUGCAGAAUAUUACAGAAAAUAACAUGACUCCACGUGUACAUAGUUAAAUCUUUAAAUAUAAUGCAUAUGUUUACAAUUGACAAAUGCUUGAUCUCUAUCUGUUUUUACUUUUACUUUUCGGCCGACCUAAUUGAGCAGCUUGUAUGUGAAGUUUAUGUCAUAAAAUAACCAACCCCAAAGUUAAAAUACGAUAAUAGUUGUGAUACAGCGAAUGAAUUUACAUUGUCGUUCCUUGCUCUCACAUACAACUCUGCGAAAGGCUCAGCUUGCCAUUUUGCCUAUAAAAUAGGUAAAACCGAACAAACGCAAUCAAUGUAUAUUUGAUUGGAUAUUUAAGGUCGCAUGCAUUAAAUUAAGAAAUAUGACUUUUUAAUGUACGAUAAAUCGUGCAAAAACUUGCGAGUUUUAAUGCAACUCUUUGGAACUAUUUUAUUGCCCAUGGCAUCAUUCCACGCACUUCACAAAUGUAAACAAUUGAACAUAAUUUUUAUUGAGUGACGUUAGGAAUUGCUUCGACGCGUGUAUGUAUGUUAGUUUCUUAUCAUCUAAAAAACAUAUCAAUUUUAUAAUAAUCAAUUAAGACUGAUAUAAGACAUCAUGGUAUGAUAUGGUUUUCUUUAAUGCAGUGAAUGCAAUGUAACCGUCGUGCAAGAGAUUGUUUAGUAUACUGUAACCUCAAUGAUGAUUGCUUGGAAUGAUCAUGACAUGAAUGAGACGCUUUCAUAACAAUAGUCCGUUCUGAGCCUAACACAGAGGUGAAUGUAAUGUAACCAUCGUGCAAGAGAUUGGGAUGAUACGAGUGUAAACAAAAUCUAAUGUUUGUAAAUUUCAAUAUGUUCAAGCUCCGGUCGCAUAGCUAAUUUUUCAGAUGACUUAAAUAAAAGACAAUAGAAUGGUGAGACAAGUUUAUUUCCUGAUAAUGUAUCUACAGCUUUUUUUUCCUUAUAUAUAUGCACAAGAAAUGCUAUUGUGCACAUAUGAUAUUGAAUAAGCAAAUUGUGCUCAACGUGUUCAGUGUGAGUUUUAAGUUUACUUUCUACACCAAACAAAUAUUGAGAACUCCAAUGCAUGUAAGCUCUUAGAUGUGUGUAAUAUCUUUAUACAAAGAAUAUAUUCUAUAUUCAGUAAGGAAAUCCCUUUUACGAUUGACUUCGGAUUAUAGUAUGUUAUGUAUUCACGUUUGAAUUAUGCUUGUUAGCAUGCCAUGUAUAACACUAUACAUGAAUGUCAUAAUUACUUUUAUUAGUGCGAUAUGUUUGUGCUUACUGUGAUUUUGCCAUAAGAACAUUUUUAUCAUUUUACAAUUGUGUAACGUUUUUUUAAUUUUCCAAUUAAUUUUUUAUAAACAAAAACACAAAACAAACACAUUUCGUAAACGCAAUGAACACACAUAUAUAUAUAUAUAAGUACAUAACUGUUUAAUGCAUUUUGGAAUCAGAUUCUUGUCAUAACCGGUGUUAACUUUUUUGGUUAUAUUGUGUUCGCUCGCUCUUUUAACAAUUAAAGAGACAUUUCCUGAUAAUCGAACUUGGUGAUUGGGUUUUAUCUGAAACUAGCGAAUAAAUAAAAUCUUAAAAAAUA